GACGAACGCUGGCGGCGUGCUUAACACAUGCAAGUCGAACGGAAAGGCCCUGCUUUUGUGGGGUGCUCGAGUGGCGAACGGGUGAGUAACACGUGAGUAACCUGCCCUUGACUUUGGGAUAACUUCAGGAAACUUGGGCUAAUACCGGAUAUGAGCUCCUGCUGCCUGGUGGGGGUUGGAAAGUUUCGGCGGAUGGGGAUGGACUCGCGGCUUAUCAGCUUGUUGGUGGGGUAGUGGCUUACCAAGGCUUUGACGGGUAGCCGGCCUGAGAGGGUGACCGGACACAUUGGGAAUAAGCUAACGCACAGACUCCUACGGGAGGCAGCAGUGAGGAAUAUUGACCCAUGGGCGGAAGCCUGAUGGAGCAACGCCGCGUGUGGGAUGACGGCCUUCGGGUUGUAGACCGCUUUCGACUGUGACGAAGCGUGAGUGACGGUAAUGGGUAAAGAAGCACCGGCUAACUACGUG
rnacentral:rRNA from 1 species